rnacentral:tRNA from 1 species
GGCCCCAUCGUCUAGUGGCCUAGGACACUGGGUUCUCAUCCCAGAAACCGGGGUUCGAUCCCCCGUGGGGUCA